UACAGAGGGGGCAAGCGUUGUUCGGAAUUACUGGGCGUAAAGGGCGCGUAGGCGGCCUUCUAAGUCGAACGUGAAAUCCCCAGGCUCAACCUGGGAACUGCGUCCGAUACUGGCAGGCUUGAAUCCGGGAGAGGGAUGUGGAAUUCCAGGUGUAGCGGUGAAAUGCGUAGAUAUCGGAGGAAGACACCGUGGCGAAGGCGGCGAUCUGGGUACGGCAUACUGACGUGAGGUGCGAAAGCGUGGGGGAGCAAAA
rnacentral:rRNA from 1 species